rnacentral:rRNA from 1 species
CCUACGGGUGGCAGCAGUGAGGAAUAUUGGUCAAUGGACGAGAGUCUGAACCAGCCAAGUAGCGUGAAGGAUGACUGCCCUAUGGGUUGUAAACUUCUUUUAUAUGGGAAUAAAAUGUUCCACGUGUGGGAUUUUGUAUGUACCAUAUGAAUAAGGAUCGGCUAACUCCGUGCCAGCAGCCGCGGUAAUACGGAGGAUGCGAGCGUUAUCCGGAUUUAUUGGGUUUAAAGGGUGCGUUGGCGGUCCGGAAAGUGUGCGGUAAAAGCCCGGGGCUCAACCUCGCCUAGCCGUGGAAACUGGCGUACUAGAGACCGCGGGAAGUACGCGGAAUGCGUGGUGUAGCGGUGAAAUGCAUAGAUAUCGCGCAGAACUCCGAUUGCGAAGGCAGCAUACGGGAGCGGUACUGACGCUGAGGCACGAAAGCGUGGGUAUCGAACAGGAUUAGAUACCCUUGUAGUC